rnacentral:rRNA from 1 species
CUGAAACAUCUUAGUACCCGGAGGAAGAGAAAGAAAAUUCGAUUCCCUUAGUAGCGGCGAGCGAAACGGGAAGAGCCCAAACCAACAAGCUUGCUUGUUGGGGUUGUAGGACACUCUAUACGGAGUUACAAAGGACGACAUUAGACGAAUCAUCUGGAAAGAUGAAUCAAAGAAGGUAAUAAUCCUGUAGUCGAAAAUGUUGUCUCUCUUGAGUGGAUCCUGAGUACGACGGAGCACGUGAAAUUCCGUCGGAAUCUGGGAGGACCAUCUCCUAAGGCUAAAUACUCUCUAGUGACCGAUAGUGAACCAGUACCGUGAGGGAAAGGUGAAAAGCACCCCGGAAGGGGAGUGAAAUAGAACCUGAAACCGUGUGCUUACAAGUAGUCAGAGCCCGUUAAUGGGUGAUGGCGUGCCUUUUGUAGAAUGAACCGGCGAGUUACGAUUUGAUGCAAGGUUAAGCAGUAAAUGUGGAGCCGUAGCGAAAGCGAGUCUGAAUAGGGCGUUUAGUA